AUAAAUUACACAGGGCAUGGUCCAACACAAGAUGUUGUUUGUAUCCUCGAUGGGCUUUACAUAUAUUGUUACUAAAACCUUCCUGUUUAUGAUAUCCAUCCAAAGAUAUGUUGAUUUCUGUCUGUGUUUGUGAGCCACAAUGAAAUAAAUCCGUAAUCAUUUUGAGGGUGAGUUGCAGCUUUUUAUGCAUGAUUCCUUGUCAACUGGAAUACAGUCAUCUGGGCACAUAGGUAUAGUAACUGAAUUUAUUUGUAGUCGCCUUUUUACCACAGAUAUAAGCCAUGUGACAACAUUCUGACCUCCUAUGCAACAUCAUAGAACAUUACUGCACCAUUCUCUGGCAAUUUAAGGUAAACUUGAAAGGAAGAAAGAAAUGCAAUUUAAGGUUGAUACAUAGUUGUUGAGCUACUAACAUUUUCUGUGGUGUGGUCUAAAUUUGUUGACAAAUCGAUACUACUUUAUGCAGGACUUUUUUUUACCUUGAGCUUGUUGAAGGCAUAGAUUAAAUAAUGCAGCAAUAUAAAACUGAUGAAAAACCAAAAGACUGAGAUCGGUAUUGAACCCUACUAUUUGCUUGUCAGUUGCCUCUUGGGAGAGAAAUUCUCAUAGCUUGAUUAUCAAGUGUCAUAGAUUAACACACUCUGUUAAUCCAUUAUGAUGAUAGGUUAACUUACAAAUAAAAAUUGGACAAGUUAAAAAUUUGUUGAAUUAAUUCUCUAGAAAUACAUGUGCAAACAUAAAAACGCCUUAACUUAUUUAGUUUCAAGGUAGUUGCCAUGUUGUUCAUUCACCUUUCUGCCCUAUUUUAUUUCCUUGACAGUUGUUUGAAGUACAAAAGAGUGUGAAAAUGAAAUUGGAUUAAACUUGCCUUAUUAUAAUUUUGAUGUGUUCAUGCCGCAGAAAAACAGUGAAAAAACCACAUAGGUCAGAGGUAUAGUAAAUGAAAGGUUUGGCACUUUUAUGUGCUUUAAAAGAAACAAUUGCGAAAAAUGUGAUUUGUUUUUUUAUUGCUGCAACUUUCUCUUUAUUGUUUGAGUUCAUUCCUUAAUUUAUUUUCUGUCAAAAUGUCAAGAUAUUUGUGAACAUUUUCUGCUAAGAGAUUAAAUUACAUCUGCUGUCUGAGAUACUUUGAAUUGUUUUUGUCUAUAUUAUAUGAAUAUUGGUAUCUAAGAAAAAUUGUUAACUAAUUAAAAAAAAAAUAAUAAUUUUUAUGUUUUUUUUUUUUUGCAUCAGGAUAUUUAAUAGGAAUAUUUUACCCUACCUGACAUAGUGCUGCAGUACCCGCUGCUAAUUGGAUGCAACACUGGUAACUAAGACAGCUCGGUGGUCUAGUGGUAAAGACACCAAUCUAAUUAUCUGGAGGCAAUGGGUUCAAUUCCUACCCAUAUCACUUCCAAGAUUUUUUUUUUCACAAGUAUUUGGAUAAGUACUAAGCAUUCAGUAUGAUAACAUAUGUCGGGUAGGGUAAAACUUCAUUUUUAUAAAUAAAAAAAAAAAUU